AAUUGAAGAGUUUUGAUCGCCGAAACCAGAUUGAACGCUGGCGCCCAGGCCUAACACGCGCUUCGCAAGUCGGUAAACAGGAAGAAACACGCAGCGAGUGGCGGACAGGUGAAGUAAUGUCACGGGAGCGCGCUACCUUACACAGUGGAGGAUAACAGAGCAGUAGCUAACAAUACCGCGCCGCGUCACCGGAAGACCAAGGGGACGCCAGACCUCUUGCCAUCGGAUGUACUGGAGAUGGGAUUAGCUAGUAGGUGGGAAUUAGCAGCUCACCUGGGCGGCGAUCCCUAAAACUGGUCUAGAGGAUGACCAGCCACACUGGAACUGAGACCUUGCAGUCCAAGACUCCUACAGGGCAGCGGUAGAAUAUUUUGUCGGCACCAAACCUGAGUGCAGCCAAUACCGCGUAGUAUGAAGAAGGCCUGCCGGGUUGUAAAAAUUACUUUCAGCGGGAGGAAGGGAGUAAAGUUAAUGCACCUUUGCUCAUUACAGCGUUACCCGCAGAAGCUAACUCCGUGCCAGCCACCCAGUAAUACAGGAGGAGUGCAAGCGUUAAUCCAGGAAUUACUGGGCGUACCAAAGCGCACUUGAGCGGUUUCAUUAAGUCAGAUGCAUAGAAAUCCCCGGAGCUCAACCCGGGAACUGCAUCCUGAUACUGGCAGAAGGCUGCCGGAGUCUCUCGUAGAGGGUAGAAUUCCAGUGCUUGGUGGGAAAUGCGGCGGAUCGGAAUACCGGUGGCGAAGGCAAAGCCUGGACGAAGACGGCGCUCCAGGUGCGAAAGCGUAGAGAACCAAACAGGUUCUGGUCUACCACAGUAGUCCACGCGUAAAGCGAUGUCGACUUAGGUUACAUGCCCUUAGCAGAGGCGAAAGCUGGAGGCUAGCGCGUUAGAUCCGACCACUUGGGGAAUUACAGCCGCAAGGUUAAAGACUCAAAUGAAUUGACAGAGACCCGCACAAGCGGUGGAGCGUAUGGUUUUAAUUCAAUUGGCACGAAGACCCCACCACAGUGUACAUCCUGGAAGUUUCAGAGAUGGGGAAUGUACCUUGAACCGUGAGACGUGGAGUGCACUGCAUGGCUGUCGUCAGCUCGUGUUGUAGCGAAAUGUUGGGUUAAGUCACAACAGAGCUGCUGUACUUAUCGCUGUUGCCAGCCCGGUCCGGCCCAGGAACUCAAAGGGGCUACCGGUGAUAAACUGGAAGGUGAGAGGAUGACAUCAAGUCAUCGCGGCCCCGCCACGACCGGGAAUACUACACGUGCUACAAUGGCGCAUACAAAGAGAAGCUGACCGCGAGAGCAAGCGGACCUCAUAAGUACACGUCGUAGUCGGAUUGGAGUCUACGCUCGACUCAUGAAGUCGGAAUCGCUAGUAAUCGUGGAUCAAGAUACCGGUGAAUGCGUUGAACCUUAUACGCACACCGCCCAUCCACGCACACCAUGGAAUUAGGUUGCAAAAGUGGUAACAACAACUGGGAGGGCGCUUAUGAUUCAUGGCUACGGUAGAGGAAGUCGUAACAAGGUAGCAAUAGAGAGGUGCCUGCGGUUGGAUCACCUCCUUACCUUAAAG
rnacentral:rRNA from 1 species